rnacentral:rRNA from 1 species
ACUCCUACGGGGGAGGCAUAGUGGGAAUCUUGGACAAUGGGGGCAACCCUGAUCCAGCCAUGCCGCGUGAGUGAUGAAGGCCUUAGGGUCGUAAAGCUCUUUCGCCUGUGAAGAUAAUGACGGUAGCAGGUAAAGAAACCCCGGCUAACUCCGUGCCAGCAGCCGCGGUAAUACGGAGGGGUUAGCGUUGUUCGGAAUUACUGGGCGUAAAGCGCACGUAGGCGGAUCGGAAAGUUGGGGGUGAAAUCCCGGGGCUCAACCCCGGAACGGCCUCCAAAACUAUCGGUCUAGAGUUCGAGAGAGGUGAGUGGAAUUCCGAGUGUAGAGGUGAAAUUCGUAGAUAUUCGGAGGAACACCAGUGGCGAAGGCGGCUCACUGGCUCGAUACUGACGCUGAGGUGCGAAAGUGUGGGGAGCAAACAGGAUUAGAUACCCUGAUAGGCUCUGC